CGGACGCACGCACGUCGAGCGCUGAUGUCCCGAGCCGCUGAGGCUGCGGGCUUGGUCUUGGGCGGCUGCUUUGGCUGCGGCCCGGCUGGGGGCUGAAGGUUGGAGAGAAACCCAGGUACUCUGUUGACUGGCACUUUCUGCUACCAUGGGGGAGCUUUUCCGGAGUGAGGAGAUGACGCUGGCCCAGCUUUUUCUACAGUCAGAAGCUGCUUAUUGUUGCGUCAGUGAAUUAGGAGAACUGGGAAAGGUUCAGUUUCGUGAUUUAAAUCCAGAUGUGAAUGUUUUCCAGCGGAAAUUUGUGAAUGAAGUUAGAAGAUGUGAAGAAAUGGAUCGAAAGCUUCGAUUUGUUGAGAAAGAGAUAAGAAAAGCUAAUAUCCCCAUUAUGGACACUGGUGAAAACCCAGAGGUGCCCUUCCCCCGGGACAUGAUUGACUUAGAGGCCAAUUUUGAGAAGAUUGAAAAUGAACUGAAGGAAAUCAACACAAACCAGGAAGCUCUGAAGAGAAAUUUCCUGGAACUGACUGAACUAAAAUUUAUACUUCGCAAAACUCAGCAGUUUUUCGAUGAGGCUGAAUUGCAUCAUCAGCAGAUGGCGGAUCCAGACUUGUUGGAAGAGUCCUCGUCCCUCUUGGAGCCAAGUGAGAUGGGAAGAGGCACACCUUUAAGACUUGGUUUCGUGGCUGGUGUGAUUAACCGGGAGCGCAUCCCUACUUUUGAGCGCAUGCUUUGGCGGGUCUGCCGGGGAAACGUGUUCCUGCGACAGGCUGAAAUCGAGAACCCCCUGGAGGAUCCUGUGACUGGUGACUACGUGCACAAGUCCGUAUUCAUCAUUUUCUUCCAAGGCGAUCAGCUGAAAAACAGAGUCAAAAAGAUCUGCGAAGGGUUCCGGGCAUCACUCUAUCCCUGUCCUGAGACACCACAGGAGAGGAAGGAAAUGGCUUCUGGAGUUAAUACCAGGAUUGACGAUCUCCAAAUGGUUCUCAAUCAAACAGAGGAUCACCGCCAGAGGGUCCUGCAGGCAGCCGCUAAGAACAUCCGUGUCUGGUUCAUCAAGGUGCGGAAGAUGAAGGCCAUCUACCACACCCUGAACCUGUGCAACAUCGACGUGACCCAGAAAUGCCUGAUCGCAGAGGUCUGGUGCCCCGUCACCGACCUUGACUCCAUCCAGUUUGCGCUCAGGAGGGGCACGGAACACAGUGGUUCCACUGUGCCCUCUAUUCUGAACAGGAUGCAAACAAAUCAGACGCCCCCAACCUAUAACAAAACGAACAAGUUCACAUAUGGCUUUCAGAACAUAGUAGAUGCUUACGGAAUUGGAACUUACCGAGAGAUAAAUCCAGCUCCCUAUACCAUCAUCACUUUCCCUUUCCUGUUUGCUGUGAUGUUUGGGGACUUCGGCCAUGGUAUUUUGAUGACCCUUUUUGCUGUAUGGAUGGUAUUGAGGGAGAGCCGGAUCCUCUCUCAGAAGAAUGAGAAUGAGAUGUUUAGCACCGUGUUCAGCGGCCGGUACAUUAUUCUGUUGAUGGGUGUGUUUUCCAUCUACACUGGCCUCAUCUACAAUGAUUGCUUUUCCAAGUCUCUUAAUAUCUUCGGGUCAUCCUGGAGCGUACGGCCAAUGUUCACUUUAUAUAAUUGGACGGAGGAGACGCUUCGGGGGAACCCUGUUCUGCAGUUGAACCCGUCUGUCCCUGGAGUUUUUGGUGGACCAUACCCUUUUGGCAUCGAUCCAAUCUGGAACAUUGCUACCAAUAAACUGACCUUUCUCAACUCCUUUAAAAUGAAGACAUCUGUUAUCCUAGGCAUCAUCCACAUGAUGUUUGGAGUCACUUUGAGCCUCUUCAACCAUACCUAUUUCAAGAAGCCCCUGAAUAUCUACUUUGGAUUUAUUCCUGAAAUAAUCUUCAUGACCUCUUUGUUUGGCUACUUGGUUAUCCUUAUAUUUUACAAGUGGACAGCCUAUAAUGCUAAUACAUCUGAGAAAGCGCCAAGCCUUCUGAUCCAUUUCAUAAACAUGUUUCUUUUUUCCUACGGGGACUCUAGUAAUUCGAUGCUGUAUUCCGGACAGAAAGGAAUUCAGUGUUUCCUGGUAGUGGUUGCGCUACUGUGUGUACCUUGGAUGCUACUAUUUAAACCACUGGUCCUUCGCCAUCAAUAUUUGAGGAGGAAGCAUUUGUGGGGCCUUAUACAUGUCUACUCUGUUGUGAGAGACUCAGAAGCCCUCCUGUCCUCAGCUGCUCCACUGAGACCUCCAGUCUGCGUGGGUCCCAUGUGCCGUCUGCAUCUGAUGCAGGAACUCUCAACUUUGGUGGGAUCAGGGUGGGCAACGGACCGACAGAGGAGGAUGCUGAGAUUAUUCAGCAUGACCAGCUCUCCACCCAUUCAGAGGACACGGAAGAGUUUGACUUUGGGGACACCAUGGUCCACCAGGCCAUCCACACCAUCGAGUACUGCCUGGGCUGCAUCUCUAACACUGCCUCCUACUUGCGGCUCUGGGCCCUCAGCCUCGCUCAUGCACAGCUGUCUGAGGUGCUUUGGACCAUGGUGAUCCACAUCGGCCUUAGCGUGAAGAGCUUGGCAGGAGGUUUGGCACUGUUCUUCAUUUUCGCCGCCUUUGCCACCCUGACUGUGGCCAUCCUCCUGAUCAUGGAGGGCCUCUCGGCCUUCCUCCACGCGCUGCGGUUACACUGGGUGGAGUUCCAGAAUAAAUUCUACAGCGGAACCGGUUUCAAGUUCCUACCCUUCUCCUUCGAGCAUAUUCGGGAAGGGAAGUUUGACGAGUGAGCCCAUCGUGGGGCUGUGUGCCGGCAGGCUGCCCUCCUCACUCCCUCCACAGUGGUUACCUGUGCUCCUCUUGCCUGUUGGUUGUGUUCCCUGGGUAUCAGGGCGUUUGUGUCAUCCCCGCCACCCCUCCCCCAGCCGCCUGUGAGUCAUUUAGAUAAAUCCGUCCCUCCCUGAGUCCCCUGCCACCGCCACCUUCAUGUGUAGUGUAGAGAGAAGCCGGGCUCUGGCUGUCACUCAUUCCCACUAGGCACCAGCCUUGCCCUCCCAGCCUCCGUCCAGCCAGAGACAGCCCCUUCUGUGUCCCCUGGUGAUGAACAAGUUUGUGCAUUUUACAUUUGAGCCCAAAGCCCAUGGAAGGAGCGCUGUCACCAUCCACACCCAGACUUUGAGCCCCCUCUCCCUGCCACUCUAGUUACUGGUUAGGGGCAGGGGUGCUCUUUAACACACCCCAUUCUUGGGUUAGCAGGGGUAGGUCCAGUAAGAUGGCAUGUCUAUCCUCUGUCCAUCCCCUCUGGUCUUCAGAACAGUUGUUAAUCGGGAAUCCAUCUGUGCCGUUGUGCACGGCUUCUCCCUGUCACUCCCAAGGGUCCCAGGGUGCCCAGCACCACCUCCCUAACCACACCCUCUCCUCCUCCCUCCUAGAAUCCCCUCCUUCCCCCUGCCCCUGUGUGUACCCAGCAUAACAGCACAGCCGGGAGUGACCUGAGCAGAGAGGUCCUGGAUGCCUCCUUUGGUUGGAGGCUUCUCAGGCCAAGCUGUGCGCCCCUGGGCAGAGGGUUUGAACCGUGGCUCUUGCCUGGUGCAGACCCCAAGACCUUCCCCUACCCCCAAUCAUGAGUCUUGAGGGCAGGACCAUAGUCAUCCAGGGUGGUUCAGCCUGCAGACCUGCCUUCUCUGCCCUCCCGUGCCCCUCCCCACUUCCACUGGGGACCCCAGUCAAGGGAGUGGGGUCCUGGGCAGUGAAGGCUGGUGCCAUUUACAGUUUGUGGAUUGGAGGCAACAGCCAGGGCUGCAGUGUGCUGGUUGUGAGAGCUGCACCCCGCCCCCCCACGGGCCACCUCUCCUGUCACCCCCAGGGCUAUGGCUUUUAGGGCCUUUGAAUCAUGUGUUGACACAGCAGCCCUGGCUGCUUCAGCUAAAUUGAACCCUGGGGCCCCCAGUGGUGGAGAUAAUCCCCUGAAUGGGCCAGGCCCCUGCCCUCCUCCCACCCUGGCUUUUCUGAGUGAGUUACUUAAAGCUGCUCACGACUCUCCUGGGCAUGGGCCACCCACCCCCAGCUUCCCCGUGUGCUGGCCAGUGUGACCCUCUGCUGAGCCCCGCCCCUUGGGCCCGGUGGUUUACAUGACGACUUUGCUCUGGGUACAGCAGGGUUUGAAGCAGAGCUCUUUGUCAGGAACCCUGCCCAAGGCCCUUGUGUUCACACAUUCCUGUGCUGAAUAAAGUGUGUUUGACCCUACCA